UGCCGCCCCUUCCACCCAAAGCCCUGCCCCUGUGCCAGCCUUUCCCCCUUAAGCUUAUUGUGGGCCUGAAGAUCACGGGACUAUAUUGAACGAUGUGGAGAAAAGAAUGGUCUUUUGGGACAAUGUGUGUGAAUUGGAUCUCCUGGGAAAUAUUUUGUGGAGGGGAAUGGAAAUUCCCCACCCCCGAUAUGUAAAACCCAGCCUUCUGAAGCUACAUUCUGAGGAGUGGGCCUUUGUCUGCUGAUUGUUCCUGGAAUCUGAAGUUCAAAGUCCCACGCUGUACACAGUAAAGACUGAACUAUUCAUGGUUGUGAAGUUCUAAGGCUGUAACCAACUUGUAACCACAGCAAAACCCCUUUGUGGAGUUUGAAGGACUGACUUCUAUCAGAGCCAUUGCUGUGAUCUCUGGUAUCUUCAUAUCCAGUAUAUUCAGCAGCAGUGCUAUGUGGUGGCGGGAGAAGAGCAGCUAUAAGCAGUUUUUCCAUCCAGAAUUGUGAGAUGAAGAGACUUGUGCAUUUUCUGGCCACUAACAAUGUAUGUUAAAGAUGUGCCUAUAUUCACAGAAGAACAUAUUGGUGAACACCUUCUGGGGUCAUUUAGCAGGCAUAGGCUUUUUCUUGCAGUCUGCAGGGCUGUAAAAGAUAGCUCUUUCCACUGGGGGCCACUGCUACAUAGGAGAAGACGAAAUGGGAGCUGCCUGCAGGGACCAGAGUCAACGCUGGGAUGGGAGCAACCUGCAGGAGAGAAGCCAGGAGUUGCCAAUGGAGCUGGAGCCACUGGUUGAAGAAGGGAACCUAGCAUCAGAGGAAAUUAAAUUUGGAGAGAGCAAGCAUAAGAACUAGGCACUAGUCAAAACAGAGCUUCAGUGUGACUUAAGUGGUGCAUUGUCUUUGUACUAGUCCUCUGCACAAGGGUUGACCUCUCCUGGUAAGAAGAGGACCAGGUAUCAGGUAACUAUUUUCAAGGAGUAGAGAAAGGGUGAGAGAUAUAGGGCAAGUGGAGAUUGAGAGGAAUUGGAAAAUAGCAGAUCGGUGAGGGAAACACAUUGAAAAGCAGAACUAGUGAUUUUUUUAAAUGACAAAACACUUCUUGCUUUAAAGAUGGUUAAACAACUAAAUUCUCUCCUAACAUUACUCCUCCAUGUUAGCAGCUGCCACAGAGGAACUGAAUAAUUGUGAUGAGCGAAGAGAUGAUCCACCAGGCACUUCCAUGACUAUGAUGUGGCUCACACAAUAUGAAACUUGGAGCACUUUUGGACUAGAUGCCCAGAGGGCCUUUCCAGCUCUAUCCUCCCUAAAAAUUAAGGAUGGAGUUUGAGUCUUAUGCUAACUUGUAAUGAAACAAGUAUAAUUUUCCCCUCCUCCCCAAAAUACCCAGUGUUAUAAACCUGCCUGGAAAAUAUCAAUAUAAAAAGCAAAUCCAUUUUCAUUUGUGGGACUACAAAAAAGCAUUUGUAACCAUUGCCAUAUACAUUGAUUGAUAGAUUC